rnacentral:lncRNA from 1 species
GAAACAUGAAUCAACUCAACCCCCAAGCAUCAACAAUUCAACCAACAAGAACUUAACGAAUUUCAACAAAGUUCUUCAAAAACUCCCUAACUUUUCAUUCAAUCAACAACCAUUCUCUGAAUAGAAAUAAGAUGGGAGUGUGGGUGAACUAACCCAACACGAAAAGAUCUCACAUACCUUAAUAGGGAUCACCCCCGACGAAUUCCAC